rnacentral:tRNA from 1 species
CAGGCCAUUUCUGUAGUUGAGUUUUCAUUUACGCUGAAUUAUUAUGUCGUGCGAUUCGACAUGGUCUGA